rnacentral:lncRNA from 1 species
GCCUCCUCAUUGUUCUUCUUGUCAAACUACUAUUAAAUGUAAGUGGAAACUGAUGAUUUGUAUCCUUUAUACUGAAGAUUAUUUCUUGUUUAUUUUCUUAAACUGCAAAGGCCUUAUCUUGUGUGUGUUAAUAUGUCACCUUGGAUAUUAAUUUUGGUAUAGGUUUGUUGUGCAGUGCUUGCGGUCAUCGUGCUCCUUGCCGGACUGGUUGCGCUGGUAGUUGUUGUUGCUGCCGUCGCUCGCGUCGGUGUACUGGUCGCGCUGGUAGUUAUUGUUGUUGCUACUGCCGUCGUGCGGCUCGCCGGACCGCGGCUGGUGGUGGUUCUGCACUGCGUUUGACGUCGGCGGGCGCUGCAGGUUCUUGACGUAUGUUGUCGUGAUGUUUGAUUAAGGUCUUCUGUGAAUCUGUACCAAAACCAUGCUUGUAAUUUGUUGUUCCCUUUCUCUAAUCUGGGACAGACGCAGUUAUUCUGGUGGGAGCCGUGGCUAUGUGAUUCUGGCCGGCGUGCAUGCAUAGUCGGAGGACGCCGAGUCUUUCUUGAUGCCGGCGACAUCAGCUCAUGUCAGCAUGAGGUCUGCACGCUUACCUUGCCUUUCUCUCCUAUUGCUGAAUCUAAUGUUCAUGCUCAUGUUCUUUUGGUCUUGCUAAUGUUCUUGGCGCAACUGAUUUCUAAACAAUUGAGUGUUUUCCCAAUAAUUAUUAGAAAAAUUGUAGAGCCAAACUCUAGUAUUGUAGUAUGAUUCUGCCUAUUGUGCUCGCCUUGUACAUAUUUGCCGAAAAUAGCAUGUACAUAAAGGAAACUACAUGAAGAAAGUUAACUGUCUGUUUUGAACAUUGGUACAUUCAGACCCUUAAUCUAAUAAUAUCCUUCUUAUCCUGGUCAAUAUCAAAUACUCUUACUUAUCUUGGUCGAUAUAAAUAAAUUGCCGUACUAUUUAUUUCAUAAGCUACUGAUCAACUAAUUAUCUAGAUGACUAAGAACAUUGGUAACAUUCACACCCUUAAUAUAAUAAGUAUCCUUCUUAUCCUGAUCGAUAUCAAGUACUCUUACUUAUCAUGGUUAAUAAAAAUAUAUUGUCGUACUAUUUAUUUCAUAAGCUACAGAUUCACUAAUUAUCUAGAUAACAUCCUUGUUCUCCUGGGCUUUGCUUUCCAUACUUCAUCUUCAUCUUCAAGCAUUGUAUUUUUGGCUUUUGCCUUAACACGUUUCUUGUUCCCGCAGGCAGCUUUGUCCUUUUGUUCAAGCAUAUUCGUCUCAAUGCAUUCAUCCUCUGAGCUAUCUGAUAUUGCAACAGAUCUAAGUCUCCUUUUAUUGCCACUUCGGAGCACAUGUGAUGAUGAUGAUACUUUGUCUUGACGCUUAUCUUUGUUUCAUGUAGUCCCAUUGCUAUCAUUUGGCUCCUCUUUCACAGGCACCCGUUCGCAUGAAAGUUCGCCAG